CCUUUUUUGUAUAGCAGUAUAAAAUUUGAAAGUAAAAAUUGGUUUAAAGUAAAGAUUUUAUCGUUGAUUACGUCAUGAAUUUUGAAGAUUUAUUGCAAUAUUAGAAUUUAUUGCAUGCUAAUUUUUGGUUACUUUCUGUGGGAAAUAUUAUAUUGCUAUGCAAUAAUAUUAUUUAUCUGUAAAUUUAUGUAAAUAUUCAUUAUACAGUGUGUAUUAUAUUAAAAAUGCAUUGAAGUUAAAACUCUCUGUUCAUCGAUUAUCAUAUGAAUUAUGUAUCGGCAGAACAAACCGACGAAGCACAGCACAUUUUCUAUAAUAAUCAAUAAUGUUAUGAUAAUGAUAAAGUGUUUUAUUGAAAGUAACUUGAAUCUAUCAAUGAAAAGAAUGUUGAUAUUUAAACGUUUUCAAAUUAGCAAAAGUAGACAUUUGAUAUCUUCAAUUAGAAUAUGCCAAAAUACCAGUAAAAAGACUCGGACAUUAGAACGACAAUUUAUGUGUCUAUUUUCACUUCUAAUAUCAAAUUUGUCAUUAUUCCAUUACAAGUGAAGACAUAUUUCACUACAGGAAAUCUAUCAUCCUUAAACAUGUGUUCGUUGCGGGUGUCAGAGGAUGAUUCUUUGAUGUACCAGACAAGUCUGCGCCGAAUUAAAAAAAAAAGCGACUUCAUUAAUUUUUGUAAUUAAAAUGCAAAUUUGGCGAAUUUAAUUUUCAGCAGAAUAUUAUAACUUUAUAGAUGAAUUAAACAAGUAUACACCUCAUCCUUUCGUAUGAACCAAGGG
rnacentral:lncRNA from 1 species